rnacentral:rRNA from 1 species
UACGUAGGGGGCAAGCGUUGUCCGGAUUUAUUGGGCGUAAAGAGCGUGUAGGCGGCUUGAAAGGUCCGUUGUGAAAACUCGAGGCUUAACCUCGAGACGCCGAUGGAAACCAUCAAGCUAGAGUCCGGAAGAGGAGAGUGGAAUUUGUGGUGUAGCGGUGAAAUGCGCAGAUAUCACAAAGAACACCCGUGGCUAAGGCGGCUCUCUAGUACGGUACUGACGCUGAGACGCGAAAGCGUGGGGAG